UCACCGCCCCCAGGGAGCGGCGGGGAGACACUGCGGCGGGGAGACACUGCUGUGGGGUCGUGACCUUUCUGGCACGCGGGCCGCCCUCUCCCAGCGCCCCACCCAUCUCUGAGCGCGGACACCCGCUCGGCCGGCCGGAGAGGCCAGGGCCCGAUCCCCAACCCCCACCACGAGGGUGGCCAGGGGCCUGCGGCGGGCACGGCCGGAGGAGGGUCCCAGCGGGAAGAGUCACCAGGCCGACCGCUGGUUGUCACCGACCCUGGGCUGGGUAGAGGGAUCGGGGCUCCGCGUUCUGAGCGACCCUGGAUCCCAACCAUGACGGCGCAAACUCCUGCAGGAAAAUGCACGACGCGCACAUCCACGUCACCUGCUCGCGCUCAGCAGGUAUUCAUUCCCUCGGUUUUCUUCCUGACAAAGUAGAGAAUUUACAGGAGUCGUGGCCACUGAUCGUGACUACCCACCCUCUGGGGACAAAACCCUAUACUGGGGACGUUCUGCAUGGCAGGCACUGUCCAACCCACCCGUUGUUCCUCGGUUUCUCCUAUCUUCACAGCAGCCCGGGAGCGCUGACUGGAUUUGUAGCACAGCUUUAAAAAGAGAGAUGUGCGAGCUUCAGGCCCUUGACGCCUGUCACUGCUCUGUGUCUUUCCUGGGCCUUCCGCAGCACUGCCAUUUCCCAGCUUCCUCAGAUGACCUUCAGUGCUGAUCUAGGGAACAACUCCACCUCCUCCCAGACCCCGCCUUAUUUCUAGCUUUGCGGUCCCCUGGUAUGGAAAUCCAAACUCCUGAGUGACAGCGUGUGGCUUGAGGAUUUCCCGACAUCACUUCCACGGACAAACAUAAAGCAGGUCCCGCCCCUUCAUUCAUGCAGCAAAUGACGGGCCAUCCUGGGGGAACACAGAAGGAGUAGUCUGGCAGGAAGCCAGACAGUAAACUCAUAAGGGCUGCAGAGUGAGGUCUGUGUGGUGAGGGGGCUGUAGGUGCCUGGGAGCCCUGGGUGUCCUGAGGGUGCCAGGCGGAAGCACUGCCGGAAGGCCCGCGGAGCCAGGGGAUGAGCAUUCCAGGCAGUGGCAACCGCAGCCCCAGAGCAGCCGGCUAUCACUGGGUGUGGCCAGAACCGUAGGAGGGUGUCCAGGGGACCGGGGUGGGCUGGCCAGGGAGGUGGAGCCAGGAUAUCGGCUAAGCUGUGAGAGCUUACUGCAGACAUGCAGUUUAAACAGGAGGGGGAGCGUCAGAUGUACACGGCAAAAACAUAACUGGUAGAUCAGAGGCAGCAGAUCGAGGAGGAAAGAGGGCCGUGGAGAUGAAGAGGAGAGGAAGGGUGUGAGAGAGUCCAAGCCCAUUAAAACUCGGUGACCUCCAGGGGGAUAUGGGAGACUUAGGGUGCCCGGAUGGUGGUGGUGCCAGAACCUGGUUGUGGAUUAGAAGCAAAUGGAGAGGCUAGUGACACAGGCUGGCUUGGUGGGUGCCUGUCCCGAAGAGACGCCUACCCGAAGGAAGGCUGUGCAUGAAGACAGCUGUGAAGUGCUACGUUCAGAUGCAGACGAUCUCAGAGGUCACAGCUGUUCACCCACUCAAAAUAUUCUGCCCAGGAUACAGCAAAACUGGCAGCAUCCUGCCCUGUGGAGCCUGCACUCCAGUGGGGUGGGGAGGCUUUAGAAAGUGGUAAGCACUUCAGGGGAAGAUGAGGUGGGUCAAGGGUAUGUGGGGAGUGAGGCAGGCAGGGCAGUGAGUGGCCUGGAAUCUGACAUCGCUGUUCAGAGUGCGCACAGGGAGAAGGUGAGCAGAGACCGGAGGGAAGUCAGAGAGUUAGCUGUGAGCAGGCCAGCUUCCAUGUGUUUGGUUAUGUUUUGAGGGGAAGAAAAGUAAGAGCAUGUUUAUGAGCAGGGUAAACAACCAGAUGCAGAAGAGGACAGAUUCGGGAGAAAGAGGUGGAAGGGGAUGGGGUCUGGUGCUGGUGGGGAUGAGUCACCCGUAGAAACGGGAGAUGAUGGAGCACGUGGGCACCAUGCCAGUGGACAGCUAGACGGAGCAGGGAGCUCUCUCAUCUCCCUGCCGGCUUGUUUUCCAUAUGUAACAGAAAGCAAAGUGAGCAGCUGAGACCAAGGAGAGAGAAGGGAGUGUUGGGGUCUGAGAAGGGAAGGGAAAGGUAGAAAAGUCACCAAGGAGAAUGGGCUCCUGAGCAGGCCAGAGAGUCGGACCUCACUGCUGGACAGCACAGGAGCUGACCUGCAGACCGGGAUGCUGAGGAGUAAUCUCACUCCUGUUCAAAACAGAACCAAGAGGCCCAAAAUGGAGCCACUUAUGCUCAACCCCAUGUCAACAAACUAUGACUUAAUACCCAACCUCACUGCAGUUUCAGCCUCUCUUAGGAAUAUAAUCUUAAACCAACAAACCUAGCAUGUCCUGGUCAGCAGGGAGGUAACCUACCUGGUAAAGCCCUCUCUAUUUACUAGAUGAGAUAUGCCUGGCAGACCCCUUCCUAUUUACUAGAUGGGAUGCUCCCUAAUUCCUGAAUCCCUGAAUGAAGCCAAUUUGAUCUCUAAAUUUAUUCCGUUCAAUUGUGUUUGUAAAGGAUUUGUUGCCAGCAGCAGGAGACUUAAGACUGCUUUGGGGACGAGAAACACAGGCAUGGUGCCCUGUGAACCCUUCUGAGUUCUCUUCUCACUCUUUCCUAGGGCCAAGAGCAAACUCCUCUUGGUUCUGAGCUCCACCCUCCUUGCACAGAGCUCCCUGUCUGCUUGGCUUCUGGUCUGCAAUUCCCCUUUUGGAAACCCAGUCCAGUCCCCAGCCCUCAUUUUUAGGGUCUGCUGGUUCAGCCCCUCCCCCAGUCAGCCCCAAGUGCCACAGAAAUGGCUGCAGGGCUUCUCUUGGCCAGGACGCAGGGAUGUCUCUUGAUUACUGCCUCCUAUUAAGGUACGUGUCUACCGUGUUUGUGUAGGUAAAGGCUGUUGCUAAUGGAACUCUCAGAAACAGCCACAAAAGUGGUGGGCACAGGCAGAACUUGUAAAGCUGUUAGAGCACCCACCACCUAACCCAGAGACUCCCCUGCUGGGAGAGGUUGGUCACAGAAUGGGCCACACAAUGCGAGGUCACCCACUAACCUCAAGAAAAUUUCUGUGCAACAGGGUACCCUGUAAAGCACCUCAACCCCGACCCAGCAGCACAUCCCUUUGACUCUGAGAGACCCAAAGCCUUAACUGUAAAUAAAUAAAUACAGAAAUGCUUUAAAUGGGAUCCUUAAAUUCCAGAGUUGAGCACCUCCAACACCCCUCCUUAUUCAGUGUCUAAGUACUAUGUUUCUAGAAGCUAUAAACACCUACAAAAACGGCUAGCUCUUACUGAAAACGAUCUUAAUGACGAUGGGAACUCUGAGAACAGUCCACUUAGACUCGCUCGCGUACGUGCACAUGACAGCAAGCGCUCCAAGAUCAAACAGCAGGGCAGGAUGCCUAUAUUAACUGGCAUGCAGCAUCCUCCAGAAGGCUUUAAAAACUCCCAAAUAACUUCAUGGGAAGAUUCGCUGUAAAAGGCUAGUGAAAACUUAAAAGACACAAGAGGGACCUAAAACAAAAGACUUAAGACCAUCCUAACCCUGCACAAAGAAGGAGACACAGGCAAGAGUGACUGGAGUAAAACCACCCGUGUGGUCAGCAGGCUCUCACCUCCUGGCCUCCACGGCUGUCACCUUCCCAGUCCUGAGCCACAGACGCAAACGGGAAUUACCAGGACGCAUCCAUGAUUCAAAAUUAGCUUCCCCUGGUGGAUCGCCGUCCCCCGGGCUGGGAUGGAAAUGGGGCUAUGAUCAAGAACCUCUUCUUAACACGUGGAAGUAUUUGGGAACCACAAUUGAAAUAAGGGCUGCCCAACAGAAAUCCUUAAACUCUCUGGCCAGAGUUGUUCUUGAUAAUAAGAUAGCCCAUCAUUAUCUUUAAGGUGUCUGCAACCACCACCCGCUGCCCCUGGGUUAACACUUCCGGGGGAGCUGAAACUCGGUUAAGGUAAGAUCAGCCCAGCAAGCCACUUGGCUUAAAAGGGCGACUACUUCGACUGGGUCUUUAUUUGACUUACUUGAUUUUGACUAGUUUGGGUCUUGGGUGCUGGGGCUCCAAACUGCACUUCAAACACUGAGAAUGAUCCCGCUUCUAGUAAUCUUGGUAGCCUCCCUGCUCUGCUGUGUGCUCAUAAAUGCAUCCUCACAGCUGCUAACCACAAAGCAAAUGAUCUCCCUAAGACCGGAAUGCCAGAAAGGGAUGGAAGACAAGGGCUGACUAAAAACGCAGACCUGCAGUCAGACUGUGAACCUCAGAGGACAGUGAAAAACUGUGAGAACCGAGUGGUGGCUGGGAGUGGCACUGACACUUUAAAUUCUGAUCACAUCCCUCAGGCUGAGAGCCUGACCCAAAGAGAAGAAUUGUUUCAAAAAAGAACCAGCAGGCCCAGAAUGGAGUCACUUGUGCUAAGCUGCCACACCAGCAAACCAGACUUAACACCAAACCAAACGGCAGUGUCAACCUCUCCCAGGAGUGUGACCUUCACCCAGUCAACCUGGAAUUUCCUGGUCAGCAGGAGUAAUUCACCUGAUAGACCCCUUCCAUCCCCCAAAGAUGAGGUGAUCCUCUCUUUCCUUGUCCUGCCCUUUUCUGCCUAUAAAAGUCUCCCAUUUUAUCCACCUCUUUGGAGCUCCUUUCUAUCUGCUAGAUGGGAGGCUGCCCCAUUCAUGAACCAUUGAACAAAGCCAAUCAGAUCUCAAAAUGUACCCAGUUGAGUUUUAACACCAAGUGCAUAUCUUAGCUCAUCUUCCAGGUUCUCCCAUGAAUUAGACAUCAACAUCCCCGACUGCUUGCUGAGGAAACUGAGGCACGGCGAGGUUCUGGGACUUUUCCAAGGUCUCACAACCAGGAAAGAUGGAUCUUCAGAGCCCAGAUCCAGCAUGAGUGACCGUAAGGAUCACGUCACACCGCCUCCAUGCAGAGAGCACAAGAAAAGCCAGCCACUGUUUGAUUUUAACAAAAAUAUGUUCUUAUUGAAGAAGACUUGGAGCAUUCUUUCCGCUGCAGUUUUCAUAUAGCUGAAAUUCUGCACUUUUCUAUCAUAUGUACAUAAAAACAUUUAUGCUAUUUCCAUAAAAGUAAAUAAAUGUGAUGUAAGCUGC